AUACGGAGGGUGCAAACGUUACUCGGAAUCACUGGGCGUAAAGCGCGCGCAGGCGGUCUUUUAAGUUGGAUGUGAAAGCCUACGGCUCAACCGUAGAACUGCAUCCAAAACUAUUAGACUAGAGUGUGGGAGAGGAAGAUGGAAUUAGUUGUGUAGGGGUAAAAUCCGUAGAGAUAACUAGGAAUACCAAAAGCGAAGGCAAUCUUCUGGAACACUACUGACGCUGAGGCGCGAAAGCGUGGGGAGCAAACAGGAUUAGAAACCCUAGUAGUCC
rnacentral:rRNA from 1 species